rnacentral:rRNA from 1 species
GGCAGCAGCCGCGGUAACACCGGCAGCUCUAGUGGUAGCAAUUUUAUUGGGCCUAAAGCGUCCGUAGCCGGUUUAAUAAGUCUCUGGUGAAAUCCUGCAGCUUAACUGUGGGAAUUGCUGGAGAUACUAUAGACUUGAGACCGGGAGAGGUUAGAGGUACUCCCAGGGUAGAGGUGAAAUUCUGUAAUCCUGGGAGGACCGCCUGUUGCGAAGGCGUCUAACUGGAACGGUUCUGACGGUGAGGGACGAAAGUUAGGGGCGCGAACCGGAUUAGAUACCCGGGUAGUCCUAACUGUAAACGAUGCGGACUUGGUGUUGGGGUGGCUUUGAGCUGCUUCAGUGCCGAAGGGAAGCUGUUAAGUCCGCCGCCGUGGGAAGUACGGUCGCAAGACUAGAAACUUAAAGGAAUUGGCGGGGGAGCACCACAACGCGUGGAGCCUGCGGUUUUAAAUUGGAUUCAACGCCGGACAUCUCACCAGAGGCGACAGCUGUAUGAUAGCCAGGUUGAUGACUUUGCUUGACUAGCUGAGAGGAGUGGUGCAUGG